rnacentral:misc_RNA from 1 species
CUGGUGGCUGCUGCCUGGCUC